UACGUAGGGCGCAAGCGUUGUCCGGAAUCAUUGGGCGUAAAGAGUUCGUAGGCGGUUUGUCGCGUCGUUCGUGAAAACUUGGGGCUUAACUCCAAGCGUGCGGGCGAUACGGGCAGACUUGAGUACUACAGGGGAGACUGGAAUUCCUGGUGUAGCGGUGAAAUGCGCAGAUAUCAGGAGGAACACCGGUGGCGAAGGCGGGUCUCUGGGUAGUAACUGACGCUGAGGAACGAAAGCGUGGGUAGCGAACAGG
rnacentral:rRNA from 1 species